rnacentral:rRNA from 1 species
UACGUAGGGGCAAGCGUUGUCCGGAAUCAUUGGGCGUAAAGAGCGCGUAGGCGGUCCGGUAAGUCCGCUGUGAAAGUCCAGGGCUCAACCCUGGGAUGCCGGUCGAUACUGCCGGACUAGAGUCCGGAAGAGGCAAGUGGAAUUCCCGGGUGUAGCGGUGAAAUGCGCAGAUAUCGGGAGGAACACCAAUGGCGAAGGCAGCUUGCUGGGACGGUACUGAACGCUGAGACGGCGAAAAAGCGUGGGGGAGCAAACAGGGAAUUAAGAAACCC